rnacentral:rRNA from 1 species
GGACUACCCGGGUAUCUAAUCCCAUUUGCUCCCCUAGCUUUCGUUCCUCAGCGUCAGUUACAGCCCAGCGAGUCGCCUGCGCCACCGGUGUUCUUCCCAAUAUCUACGCAUUUCACCGCUACACUGGGAAUUCCACUCGCCUCUACUGCACUCCAGUCUGCCAGUAUCCAAUGCACUCCCAGGGUUGGGCCCCGAUCUUUAACAUCAGACUUAACAAACCGCCUACGAACUCUUUACGCCCAAUGAAUCCGGACAACGCUCGCAUCCUACGUCUUACCGCGGCUGCUGGCAC